GUGGAUUGGCUUAAUGGAUGGAGCUUAGGGCUUGUGACCGUAAGGUCCCGGGUUUGAAUCUCGCCAGAGGCAGACA
rnacentral:tRNA from 1 species